rnacentral:lncRNA from 1 species
GAGGUGGAGGUUAUGGCAUAUUGUUCUCAGUACGAAAAACAACAGAAUCAGAAUCAGAAUCAGGUGCAAAUGCAACAAAUGCAGUAUGCACAAAGUAUUCAGCAGUGGAUUCAUAUUCAACAGUAGGAUGCACAGUAUCUAAUGGAACAGACUCUAAAGACAAAUUCCUAGAAUGCCUAACUAACCUAUGAAAUGUCCUAUCAAUCUCAGGAUCAAAGGGUGGUACGAGCCCAGGAUUUCCUCUAGUCAUGCACCAAGUCACAACACCCCAC